rnacentral:rRNA from 1 species
CACGUAGGGGCCAAGCGUUGUCCGGAUUUAUUGGGCGUAAAGAGCUCGUAGGCGGCUCGGUAAGUCGGGUGUGAAACCUCCAGGCUCAACCUGGAGACGCCACCUGAUACUGCUGUGGCUAGAGUCCGGGUAGGGGAGCGGUGGAAUUCCUGGUGUAGCGGUGAAAUGCGCAGAUAUCAGGAGGAACACCAGCGGCGAAGGCGGCGCUCUGGGCCGGAACUGACGCUGAGGAGCGAAAGCGUGGGUAGCAAACAGG